GAAUUGUGCAUAAGGAGAGUGCAUGGCUUAUGCGGAUUCGCGCCCCCUUAUGCAAUCUCAUGGAAUUGUGCAUAACCUAUGCACCUGAUCAUGCAGUUUUGCAUAAGUGAACCAGAAACCAGCCGAAACUUGCAUAAGGGACUGCAUGACUUAUGCAGUCCACUUAUGCAGUUCCAUAAAGUCUUCAUAAUGAGCUGGCAGAA
rnacentral:misc_RNA from 1 species